CGAUUGUCACCUUUUUGAGUAGA
rnacentral:miRNA from 1 species